GGGCAGUGCCCGAGCCCGGCACGCGCGGGCGCGUACGCCGAGGGCUGUGCGCCGGGGGCGAAACUUGUUGCCGGCGCUGGCGCUGCUCGGUGCGGAGCGGGCCGCGGCGGGUUCAGCACCGCGGACAGCACCGCCGCGACCGGCGCCGUUGGGGGCGGGCACGGAGCGGGCCGCUGUGUGCGGGGCCGAGGCGGCUGCCCGCGCCCACGGCGGCGGCGAAGGGCGAUCGCAGCGGCAACGCUGAACGCGCGUCGUUCGUGCACAAGGCUCCCCCUACAGAUACUGCUCUUCAGCUGCUGGCAUCGUGCCUGAGGGAGAGCAGUGGCACUGUCGUCUGCUCUUACACUUGGCAGAGGUGGCUGGAAAGAGGAAGGCACCUAUCUAUGUGCAGAAAGAAGAACAGAGUAACAAGUCUUCAACGAGUGUGUUGGAACUUGGGAGUCUUGGACUGGGGAGAAGAGCCAGAGAACUGGCCAGCCUUGGAAGGCCAGAGAACUGAAGGCAGCCUUGGAGCUAGUAGAGACAGGCUGUGGCUGGUCAAGGGUGAAAGAGCAGGAAAAACUUAAGAAGUGGAGAUGUUUGUGACGAUUAGAUGGAAUGUGAAAACAGAGGUGGGAAGAAUGACUUGAAUGAAGAAUGGAAAAGAAAAAAAAAAGAAGAAGGAGCAAGGGAGGCAAUCCAAAUUCAGAUGGGAUGCACAGAGAAAUAAAGUUGGGAAAAAAGAUGAGGGGAUGUUCACCUAGAUUAGAUGGGUUUGAUAAAGGAGAGUGGAAUUAGAAAUGGGAGCCUGUGAAAAGUAAUCCUGGAGACCUAUCUGCAAAGAAGAAACAUGAUAUGGUAUGAGAAUGUAGAAAGGGGAAGUACAGACAGCAGAGGUUAGGAGUAAAUAAAUACUGGGUCUUGCUCAGUGAAGAGGCCAGGAUUGAAAUGGCAGCCUUAGGAAUGAAAAACGGGACUCUUGAAUUGUGACUGGGGAGGAGAAGGAGGGGCGGGAUGCAAACAGACUCAAGGAACAGUACAGAAGUAGCUGUCUUUUGGUGUGAUAGACAAAGGUCAUAUGUAUGAGCGCAUGCAAUCUUCAAAAGCCAGACAAUAUGCCAGGAUACCUUGUAGUUCCUGUUCACUUGCCAGCAAAGAUAUCUCAAAUCUACUGGCAAAGCGUGACACCCCUUUUCUGGGUUUGUUUGUUUGAAGGAUGACAGUCUGAUAUGGCUGAUGGUCAGCCCUUUAGCUGAGAUGGUAGCUAUACAGGGAGAUGGCUGCUGUGCAUCUAGGUGUUCCAAUAUGUUACUCGUAUGAGAACGGAGGUGAAGCUAUGGGUAAAAUUCUAUGUUUUUUCUUUUGUUUUUUCUUUUUUUUUUUUUUUUUCCUGAUGUCUUGAAAAUCCUAACAAAUCGCAGACAUGAUGGGUUACCAAGUCAUACACUCAAAACUAGGAAAUGGUGAAAGUUUGGUCGUCCUCUUCGCAGGCAGAACUGGCAUGGUGAUAGGAUACUGCGUGUUGUACAGUGAAUGCUGGGUGUGUUGAGUGGCAUGUUGAAAGGUAGGGGAAGAAAUAAUGGAGAAAGAAAUUUUAGUUCUGACCUGAAGGCUAUUCCAGACUUUCUGCAUGAAGCUGAGCAAGAACUACCUAAUUUUCAGAGGGGGUUGUUACUUGUUGUGUUCCUCCUUUUCUGCUUGCUUGAUUCUAAUACCAUGGAUUGAGGCUUUCAGGAAUACUGAGAGUCAACAGUAGCAGCUAAUUUCAGUGAGUGAGUGAGAUUUUGAACAUGUAAAACACAGCGCUGAAUGCUUUGAACAAAGGAUAUGUUAACUGUCUUAAAUAGCUACUAAAAGUCGGUAUUUGUUUAUCUUAACUUUUUUGUGCCUCAGUUUUCUCUGUGUAAAAUGGAAGUGAUAUGAUUGCUUCCUCUCCAAGAGGUGUUUUCAAAAAAAACCCUAAUGAAUAUUUGUUAAGUAUCCAGGCCCCAUAGUAGCCUGGAAAACCCAUGAGGUGCUUGGAAAAGCCCAUGAUGAAAUUCAUAGUUUUGUCUUCAGAGCAGACUCUGAAUAAUGUGUAGCAAAUAAGUCCUGGAACUACUGAACAAUGGUGAAUAGCUGAUAAAAGAAGAAUAGUUCAUUAAGUACACGCUAUUCAUUAUGCUGAAUGAGUCAGAAUUUGUGUGGAAAAAUAGUAUGUAAUCAUGCAAUUAAAGACUGUGUCAUAAUCUGAACGUACAAAGGGGCCAAUUUAAGGUUAUUCAAGUAUGUUUCAUUCUGAUGUUUCUCCCCCUUGAUGGCUUAAACUAUACGGUCUUACUAAUGUGCUUUUAAAGUUGUUUGUUCUGUGUUCGUUUCCAGUAUAUGAAGAUAAUAUGCAGCUAUCAGGAUCACAGUUGGAAUUGGUGUCUUGGCCAGUUUCAAUUGCAUAAAUCAGUUUCAUUCCCAUCCAAACAUUUGAGACCAUCAAAACUGUUUAGUCUAAAAAUCUUACAUAAAUGUUUUACAAGAUAAAUGUCAUUUCUGUCUUAUGUAAACUAUUUGCAUCUCUGGAUUUCCCUGUUAUUUGAGAAUCUCUCAUGUUUUCUUAUUUAUUUCAGAAGUUUGUUGUUAUGCUGGAUUACCAGAGCAUUCUGCAGCGUAUUUUUAUAGUUUGUAGAUGGGAGGAGUUUUCUUGGCCAGGUCAUUCGUUUCCCUUUUGAACAGAAGGGAUAUAGUGGCAUCAUCCAGCCUCUGAAACCAUUCUUCAGAUCCCUCUCUUAGCAUUAUGGAGUAGCAUCACUGCUGUUUCAGAAAUGUUAUCCUGUAAGUCUCAGAGACAGGAAACAAUUGAGUUUCUAGGUAGACUCUCACGUGAAGGACAGCUGAGAAGUCCAAGUUUGACAUUAAUUGUUAGUGUCCCGAAUAGUGUGACUUGCUGGGUUUUGUUUUAUUGUUAACUCUGAGAGUUCUGAGCAUAGAAAUAAAUAACCCAUGUUUUCAUAUCAAGUGGUAAUAAUAGAGAGGCACUGUGACACUCAGAUACGACACAAAAUUCAGAAGUUAUUGUUGUUUGUAAUUACCGUCACUAUUGUUCCUCUCCCCAGCUACAGUUUGGAGAAUUAAACACACUCUUCAAAAUAGAAACUGCAUAAUUUGUCUAGAAUUUGGAGGAUAUAGUAGCCAACCAAGAAAUGUAUCUUUUCUAUGGAAUUUCAUCUUAACUGAUAGAAUGUCAAAUUAUCAAAGUUGACUCUGUUUAUUUUGUGACAAGUAAUACUGCUGCUUCAAGUAGGAGCUAGAAUCUUGUGUACAGCUUUAGAAGCUCUCUCAUUGCUAGGGAAAAUACUUACCACUGAUGUUCUUGCAAGAGCAAAAAUUUUCGUGUAUAACGUUCCAUCCUGUUUGGAUACAGAAUAAUAUUAAAUGGGGCCAAGCAGCUAUUUGGAAGUCCUCAUAAAUGAUAUUUAGAAUUAUGUAAGAGAAGAAAACUAAUUCUUUGCUGUAUCUUUCACUUCACCUCGCUACUGUAAGAAUUUUGCACUAUUGUUUUCUGUCAUAAGCAGUGAUGCCACUAAUUAGCUGGACUUUGCUGGAAACUGACUAUUCAACAUUCCUGUGUCAAGAAAUACAGUUAUUCCCAUUCUUCCUUACUGUUCCUUAAUUUUUAGAGUCAUUUUACUUCCUUCUUCCUCCUUCCUCAUCUCCUUUUAGUGCUUUUUGCAAACCUGUGUGAUUGAUCAUUAACUGUUUAAUCUGUUAAAGACCAAACUGUGUCUAGCUGUCUAAAUCUUGUCUGCUGUUUU
rnacentral:lncRNA from 1 species